rnacentral:rRNA from 1 species
UACGGGGGGGGGCAAGCGUUGUUCGGAAUUACUGGGCGUAAAGGGCUCGUAGGCGGCCAACUAAGUCAGACGUGAAAUCCCUCGGCUUAACCGGGGAACUGCGUCUGAUACUGGAUGGCUUGAGUUUGGGAGAGGGAUGCGGAAUUCCUGGUGUAGCGGUGAAAUGCGCAGAUAUCAGGAGGAGCACCGGUGGCGAAGGCGGAUCUCUGGGCCUUACCUGACGCUCAGGUGCGAAAGCUAGGGGAGCGAACAGG